GUGCUGGGCGGCAGCUACCAUGCAGUCGAGCGGCAGCACGGGGAGCUUGCUCCCUGGUGGCGAGCGGCGGACGGGUGAGUAAUGCAUAGGAAUCUGCCCGGUAGUGGGGGAUAACGUGGGGAAACCCACGCUAAUACCGCAUACGUCCUACGGGAGAAAGCGGAGGAUCUUCGGACUUCGCGCUAUCGGAUGAGCCUAUGUCGGAUUAGCUAGUUGGUAAGGUAAUGGCUUACCAAGGCGACGAUCCGUAGCUGGUCUGAGAGGAUGAUCAGCCACACUGGGACUGAGACACGGCCCAGACUCCUACGGGAGGCAGCAGUGGGGAAUAUUGGACAAUGGGCGAAAGCCUGAUCCAGCCAUGCCGCGUGUGUGAAGAAGGCUUUCGGGUUGUAAAGCACUUUCAGCGAGGAAGAAGGCCUCUGGGUUAAUACCCCAGAGGAAGGACAUCACUCGCAGAAGAAGCACCGGCUAACUCCGUGCCAGCAGCCGCGGUAAUACGGAGGGUGCGAGCGUUAAUCGGAAUUACUGGGCGUAAAGCGCGCGUAGGUGGCUUGGCACGCCGGUUGUGAAAGCCCCGGGCUCAACCUGGGAACGGCAUCCGGAACGGCCAGGCUAGAGUGCAGGAGAGGAAGGUAGAAUUCCCGGUGUAGCGGUGAAAUGCGUAGAGAUCGGGAGGAAUACCAGUGGCGAAGGCGGCCUUCUGGCCUGACACUGACACUGAGGUGCGAAAGCGUGGGUAGCAAACAGGAUUAGAUACCCUUGGUAGUCA
rnacentral:rRNA from 1 species